rnacentral:rRNA from 1 species
GACGAACGCUGGCGGCGUGCCUAAUACAUGCAAGUAGAACGCUGAAGAGAGGAGCUUGCUCUUCUUGGAUGAGUUGCGAACGGGUGAGUAACGCGUAGGUAACCUGCCUUGUAGCGGGGGAUAACUAUUGGAAACGAUAGCUAAUACCGCAUAACAAUGGAUGACCCAUGUCAUUUAUUUGAAAGGGGCAAAUGCUCCACUACAUGACGGACCUGCGUUGUAUUAGCGAGUAGGUGAGGUAACGGCUCACCUAGGCGGCGAUACAUAGCCGACCUGAGAGGGUGAUCGGCCACACUGGGACUGAGACACGGCCCAGACUCCUACGGGAGGCAGCAGUAGGGAAUCUUCGGCAAUAGGGGCGACCCUGACCGAGCAACGCCGCGUGAGUGAAGAAGGUUUUCGGAUCGUAAAGCUCUGUUGUAAGUCAAGAACGAGUGUGAGGGUGGAAAGUUCACGCUGUGACGGUAGCUUACCAGAAAGGGACGGCUAACUACGCG